rnacentral:rRNA from 1 species
AGCGGCAGGCCUAAUACAUGCAAGUCGGACGGGAUAGGAGAGCUUGCUUUCCUUGAGAGUGGCGCACGGGUGCGUAACACGUAUGUAACCUACCCAUAUCAGGGGGAUAGCCUCUCGAAAGAGAGAUUAAGCCCGCAUAACAUCAUUUAAUAGCAUUAUUGAAUGAUCAAAUAUUUAUAGGAUAUGGAUGGGCAUGCGGAACAUUAGCUAGUUGGUAAGGUAACGGCUUACCAAGGCUACGAUGUUUAGGGGAUCUGAGAGGAUGACCCCCCACACUGGUACUGAGACACGGACCAGACUCCUACGGGAGGCAGCAGUAAGGAAUAUUGGUCAAUGGGCGGAAGCCUGAACCAGCCAUGCCGCGUGCAGGAAGACGGCCCUACGGGUUGUAAACUGCUUUUGUACCGGAAUAAACCCUUUUACGUGUAAGAGGUUGAAUGUACGGUAAGAAUAAGGAUCGGCUAACUCCGUGCCAGCAGCCGCGGUAAUACGGAGGAUCCAAGCGUUAUCCGGAUUUAUUGGGUUUAAAGGGUGCGUAGGCGGCCUAUUAA